UCAGUAACUAAGGGGUUAAUGUAUUGGUAUUUUAAGCGAAAGGUACUGGGUUCGAAUCCCAGAGUGA
rnacentral:tRNA from 1 species